GGAAGAUGUGGCCCGUGGGGGCCACCUCCCCUGCUAAGGGAGGCUGUCGUAACUGGCAGUGGUUCGACUCCACCUUCUUCCGC
rnacentral:tRNA from 2 species